CAGUAGCCGCGGUAAUACGAGGGGGGCAAGCGUUGUUCGGAAUUACUGUGCGUAAAGCGUGCGCAGGCGGUUUUGUAAGACAGGCGUGAAAUCCCCGGGCUCAACCUGGGAAUGGCGCUUGUGACUGCAAAGCUAGAGUGCGGCAGAGGGGGAUGGAAUUCCGCGUGUAGCAGUUAAAUGCGUAGAUAUGCGGAGGAACACCGAUGGCGAAGGCAAUCCCCUGGGCCUGCACUGACGCUCAUGCACGAAAGCGUGGGGAGCAAACAGGAUUAGAUACCCCCGUAGUCCCUGUCUCUUAUAC
rnacentral:rRNA from 1 species